rnacentral:misc_RNA from 1 species
CCGAGUUUACAACUCCCAAACCCCUGUGAACAUACCACUUGUUGCCUCGGCGGAUCAGUCCGCUCCCGGUAAAACGGGACGGCCCGCCAGAGGACCCCUAAACUCUGUUUCUAUAUGUAACUUCUGAGUAAAACCAUAAAUAAAUCA